ACACAAGCGGUGGAUGAUGUGGAUUAAUUCGAUGCAACGCGAAAACCUUACCUACCCUUGACAUGUCUGGAACCUUGGUGAGAGCCGAGGUGCCUUCGGGAGCCAGAACACAGGUGCUGCAUGGCUGUCGUCAGCUCGUGUCGUGAGAUGUUGGGUUAAGUCCCGCAACGAGCGCAACCCUUGUCAUUAGUUGCCAUCAUUUGGUUGGGCACUCUAAUGAGACUGCCGGUGACAAACCGGAGGAAGGUGGGGAUGACGUCAAGUCCUCAUGGCCCUUAUGGGUAGGGCUUCACACGUCAUACAAUGGUCGGUACAGAGGGUUGCCAACCCGCGAGGGGGAGCUAAUCCCACAAAGCCGAUCGUAGUCCGGAUCGCAGUCUGCAACUCGACUGCGUGAAGUCGGAAUCGCUAGUAAUCGUGGAUCAGCAUGUCACGGUGAAUACGUCCCCGGGUCUU
rnacentral:rRNA from 1 species